CUGGUUGAUCCUGCCGGACCUGACUGCUAUCGGAUUGGUACUAAGCCAUGUGAGUCGUUGUAGCAAUACAAGGCAUACGGCUCAGUAACACGUAGUCAAUCUAACCUAUGGACGGGGAUAACCUCGGGAAACUGAGGAUAAACCCCGAUAGAUCAUAAUGCCUGGAACGGUUUAUGGUCCAAAUGAUUCGUCGCCAUAGGGUGGGACUGCGGCCUAUCAGCUUGUUGGUGAGGUAAUGGCCCACCAAGGCUAUUACAGGUACGGGCUCUGAGAGGAGAAGCCCGGAGAUGGGUACUGAGACACGGACCCAGGCCCUAUGGGGCGCAGCAGGCGAGAAACCUUUGCAAUGUGCGCAAGCACGACAAGGUUAAUCCGAGUGUUUCCUGCUUAAGGAAUCUUUUGUUAGUUGUAAAACCACUGAUGAAUAAGGGGUGGGCAAGUUCUGGUGUCAGCCGCCGCGGUAAAACCAGCACCUCAAGUGGUCAGGAUGAUUAUUGGGCCUAAAGCAUCCGUAGCCUGUUCUGUAAGUUUCCGGUUAAAUCCAUUAGCUCAACUAAUGGGCUGCCGAAAAUACUGCAAAACUAGGGAGUGGGAGAGGUAGACGGUACUCGGUAGGAAGGGGUAAAAUCCUUUGAUCUAUUGAUGACCACCUGUGGCGAAGGCGGUCUACCAGAACACGUUCGACGGUGAGGGAUGAAAGCUGGGGGAGCAAACCGGAUUAGAUACCCGGGUAGUCCCAGCUGUAAACGAUGCAGACUCGGUGAUGCCCUGGCUUGUGGCCAGUGCAGUGCCGCAGGGAAGCCGUUAAGUUUGCCGCCUGGGAAGUACGUACGCAAGUAUGAAACUUAAAGGAAUUGGCGGGGGAGCACCACAAGGGGUGAAGCCUGCGGUUCAAUUGGACUCAACGCCGG
rnacentral:rRNA from 1 species